rnacentral:rRNA from 1 species
ACUCAAAGGAAUUGACGGGGGCCCGCACAAGCGGUGGAGCAUGUGGUUUAAUUCGACGCAACGCGAAGAACCUUACCUGGGCUCGAACGGCUUCGGACAAUUCGUAGAAAUAUGGACUUCCCGCAAGGGACCGGAGUCGAGGUGCUGCAUGGCUGUCGUCAGCUCGUGUCGUGAGAUGUUGGGUUAAGUCCCGCAACGAGCGCAACCCUUGUCCUGUGUUGCCACCCGAAAGGAGCACUCUCAGGAGACCGCCAGCGAUAAGCUGGAGGAAGGUGGGGAUGACGUCAAGUCCUCAUGGCCUUUAUGUCCAGGGCUACACACGUGCUACAAUGGACGGUACAAAGCGCUGCAAACCCGCGAGGGGGAGCCAAUCGCAAAAAACCGUUCUUAGUUCGGAUUGCAGGCUGCAACUCGCCUGCAUGAAGCUGGAAUCGCUAGUAAUGGCGUAUCAGAAUGAUGCCGUGAAUACGUUCCCGGGCCUUGCACACACCGCCCGU